rnacentral:rRNA from 1 species
AACGAACGCUGGCGGCGUGCUUAACACAUGCAAGUCGAACGAGAAAGUUCCUUCGGGGACGAUUAGAGUGGCGCACGGGUGAGUAAUACAUAGGAACGUACCAUUCGGUGGGGAAUAACCACGGGAAACUGUGGCUAAUACCGCAUAAUAUCGCAAGAUUAAAGGGGGCCUCUGCAUAUGCUCUCGCCGAUUGAUCGGCCUAUGUCCCAUUAGCUUGUUGGUAGGGUAAUGGCCUACCAAGGCAGUGAUGGGUAGCUGGUCUGAGAGGAUGAUCAGCCACACUGGGACUGAGACACGGCCCAGACUCCUACGGGAGGCAGCAGUGGGGAAUCUUGCACAAUGGGCGAAAGCCUGAUGCAGCAACGCCGCGUGAGUGAAGAAGGCCCUUGGGUUGUAAAGCUCUUUUCGACUAGGAAGAAGGGUGCCGUGGUUAAUACCCGCAGCAUUUGACGGUACUAGCAGAAGAAGCACCGGCUAAUUCCGU